rnacentral:rRNA from 1 species
UACGUAGGGUGCAAGCGUUGUCCGGAAUUAUUGGGCGUAAAGAGCUUGUAGGCGGUUUGUCGCGUCUGCUGUGAAAUUUCGGGGCUCAACCCCGAACUUGCAGUGGGUACGGGCAGACUAGAGUGUGGUAGGGGAGACUGGAAUUCCUGGUGUAGCGGUGAAAUGCGCAGAUAUCAGGAGGAACACCAGCGGCGAAGGCGGCGCUCUGGGCCGGUACUGACACUGAGGAGCGAAAGCGUGGGG